GAUGAACGCUGGCGGCGUGCCUAAUACAUGCAAGUCGAGCGAACAGACGAGGAGCUUGCUCCUCUGACGUUAGCGGCGGACGGGUGAGUAACACGUGGAUAACCUACCUAUAAGACUGGGAUAACUUCGGGAAACCGGAGCUAAUACCGGAUAAUAUAUUGAACCGCAUGGUUCAAUAGUGAAAGACGGUUUUGCUGUCACUUAUAGAUGGAUCCGCGCCGCAUUAGCUAGUUGGUAAGGUAACGGCUUACCAAGGCAACGAUGCGUAGCCGACCUGAGAGGGUGAUCGGCCACACUGGAACUGAGACACGGUCCAGACUCCUACGGGAGGCAGCAGUAGGGAAUCUUCCGCAAUGGGCGAAAGCCUGACGCAGCCACGCCGCGUGAGUGAUGAAGGUCUUCGGAUUGUAAAGCACUUUUAGUUGGGAGGAAGAGAAGUGAGUGUAUACCUGGCUGUCUUGACGGUACCAACAGAAAAAGCACCGGCUAACUACGUG
rnacentral:rRNA from 1 species